rnacentral:lncRNA from 1 species
GAGGGUGGGUGUGUGGUGAGAUCAAUGGGUUAGUGGUCAAGAUAAGGGGCCAGAAGUGUGGGGAUGAAGGGUACCAGAGCAAAUGAGCUAGAAUUACUGGAAAUGAAGGCCAAAUAGAAGGAUUUGGAAAUAGAGAUUUCUGGCCAUGUCAUGGUCUAUGGUGUGGCUGUUGAGUGGGUGGCUGCAGUGGAGUGAGGACAAAGGUUGGUGGGGUAGAAAACAUCAAAGAACAAGACCAAGUGGCUCGUUGAGUUGCACAUACAGAUAUUGAAGUUUUGAGAAUUAUUGUAGGAAGAGGGCAGUGAACAUGAUUGUAACCAGGACCUAAAGUCUUCAGUGAAGGAGGAAGGAUGAUUAAGAGAUAAUUGCAAGGCUGCAUUAAGGGAAGAGAAAGAGGCAUGGAAGAAGAGAAAGCAAAGCAUCACAAUAGGCUUGAAAGCACUUUUUGGGACAAAACUUUGUAUGUGUACUGAAAUGUGGAACUUAGUGGAAGCAAACAGAAAUCUACUACGUUUUUAAGGGAGGUAAAUUGCUAUGAAACCAUGAACCUGGAACCAAAAAGCUUUCGACUAUUGAGUCCUAAAACCAGUUUCACGCCAGCAUACUUGCACCAGCAGAAGGCUGGCUGUUGAAGCUGGGUAACUGCCAAAGGUUGCAUUCUCCCCAAUAUCCACUGUAGAUAUAGCCAUGGUGGAUAAUGGAAAAGGGAGACCCUUCAAUCAAAAGGGAAGAGUCAGGUCACAGAGGACGGUGACAAAGGAGUUCUUCUCAGAAAACAGAAUCAGAGUUGAAUAUAAGAACUUAGUCUGAGGCCUUCAUAAUGCUCUCCAAGCAGGAUUUCAGAAUUGCUAUGAACCAUAAUGGGCGUGUGUGUUUUCCUUCUUUUCAAACAAGGUCUUUAAUUUGCUGUUACUCUGUCCCUGUGCCACCAUUGUAUAUUGGGUGUGUGUAGAGUAGGGGGUGGGUUGGGGGGCAGAUAAUUUUUCUUUUUAGUUCAUAGGUCACUGGACCACCAAGAGACCUGAUGGAGAUACUGGAACAUUGGCGAUCUUGAGCUUUGACCUGGAUGUGCUGACAGGGGAUGUGAAAAGUCAAGGAGAAUGAUGCAAAAAUACUCAUGAACUAUCCGGUGCUGAACAAAUAGAGGGAAGAUAAUGAUGCU